UAGCACCAUAAGCUUCGUAAAUAUAGGAAUCAUUCCCGAAACCCCAUAUACCAUGGCCUUAAUCAUCAUUUCUGUAUAAGUCUUUAGUAGUUUAUCUCAGCAGUCAGUUCCGGCCUACGCAUCCUCUACGUAGGGGACCGAUGCAAAUAAGUGAAUGAUCCAGAAAAACAAAAAAAUAAAAGAAAGCAAAAUGGCAACUCCGGUAUAGGUGACCCUCACAAAGUCAUUUAAAC
rnacentral:lncRNA from 1 species